rnacentral:rRNA from 1 species
UACGGAGGGUGCAAGCGUUAAUCGGAAUUACUGGGCGUAAAGGGUGCGUAGGUUGUUGAUUAAGUUAUCUGUGAAAUUCCUGGGCUUAACCUGGGCGUGUCAGAUAAUACUGAUUAACUCGAGUAAGGGAGAGGGUAGUGGAAUUUCCGGUGUAGCGGUGAAAUGCGUAGAGAUCGGAAGGAACACCAGUGGCGAAGGCGACUACCUGGCCUAUUACUGACACUGAGGCACGAAAGCGUGGGGAGCAAACAGG